AGCCCUGCAGAGCGCACAAAGCGAACUAUUCUUUCGCCUUUUACUAAAGAAUACCGUGUGCGCGCUGCAUUGAAGGGCAUACGUCAAUUUUUGGAAGGGUAUUUGUGACAAAAUACC